GUAUGGCCCGCGAGACUAGUGGACAACAAGCUAGCCAUUGAAAAGAUUUCUGAAAAGCCAGCUGCCUCUUGCAUGUAAUAAAAGCUAUGGCCUCCAGCUCCACUCGUACUCUUGAGUUAGGUGGCUAUAAUCUCCAGUUUAUGAGCGAGCCUCCAGAUUCACUGGUAUGUCUGAUCUGCACACUUGUGGCCAAGGACCCUCAACAAAUGGACUGCUGUGGGAGAGUCUACUGCACACUCUGUCUCUCUGAGCAUAAGAAGCACUCGGACAAGUGCCCUCAAUGCAGGAAGGCUGGGAAUAGCUUCAACGACAAAAAGAGCAGUUUGGAGAUCAGUAAACGGGAAUAGCUUCAACGACAAAAGAUGUACAGAAGCAUUCACUUACAAAUUAAUGUAACAAUAACUUUUAGUUAUAAAUUGGAGUUCCAUUUUCAUGUUGAUCUGUACUAUACUGUAUAUAAUUAUAUUCCUGCAGGCAGUUUAGAGAUCAAUAACCUCAGAGUCAGGUGUCCUAACGAAGGAGCCGGUUGUCGAUGGAUGAAAGAACUACAUGGCCUCGAAAAACAUCAAAAGUCAUGUCAGCACGCUUUGGUCUCGUGUCCCAAUGAAUGCAAGGAAGCAGGAGGCUCUGAAGUUUGUACUUUUCUUCGCAAAGCUUUAAAAUCCCACAUCAAAUCUAAAUGUCCGAAAAGGCAAUACAAAUGCCCACGCUGUCAAGAAUCGGGAGAAUACGAAGAGAGAACAAGCAGACAUCUUAAUGUUUGUCCGAUGAUAAGCACGGAUUGUCCAAACGAAGGCUGUCACAAACUAAUACCCCGUAGCUCUGUCUCUAGCCAUGCUGACAUAUGUGACUACCAGCUUGUACCUUGCAAGUAUGCCGUGGUCGGUUGUGAGGAGACUCCUCUACGUAAGGACCUUUUGGAGCAUGAGGAAGAUGACAAACUUCACCUGCGUAUUACUACUGAAGCUGUUUUACAGCAAAAAAUGACAUCGGACAAGUUCACAUUUAUGGUACCAGAUUUCAAUGAACUAAAACUAAAGAAAACUGCCCAUAAGAGUACUCCAUUCUACAUGAAAGGGUACAAUUUGAAAGUGGAAGUACAUGAAGGGAAAGGCCAAGGCCAUGUCUCUGUGUUUACCUUCCUCUUGAAGGGAAAAUACGAUAAUUGUCUUCAGUGGCCAUUUCAAGGAACAGUAACAAUCGAACUACUCAAUCAGUUGGAUGAUAAGAAUCAUUAUAGAGACAUUUUUGUUUUUCGUGCCGAUUAUAACAUCAGUAAACCUGCGGAUAGCCUUGAACAAGGCAUAGGAUGUGGCCGGGGCAAGACUGAAUUCAUCUCUCACUCUGCACUGGACUACAAUCGUGAAAAGAACUGUCAAUACCUCAAGAAUGAUUCUCUUGUUUUUCGAAUAUCUGUUGACGUACCUGAUCACAAGCCCUGGCUCAUGUGUAGCACUGAGAACUAGAACUAACUUGUUUCACAUAAAACUUAGUCUCAGCUAUAUACUUAGAAUACAUUAUUACGUGUGUAUACAGCACAAAUAUCUGUUUUCACGUUUAGCUUUACUGUUCUGUUUUGUGCAUCCAAUCGAUUUUAAAAAAUUG